UUUAACAGCGACUGCUCUUCGUUAGCCUUUGCUGGCUUAUGGGAUGGAUGGUUAUCGGUUGUCAUAAGUUGAGAAUGUUACAAUUCCAAGAUGUGACCACUCUCAUCAAAUAAUCAAUGUUAUCUCCAAGGUCUACAUUAAAGGUGUAGCAGAUAAGUGUGUUCACAGAGAAAAGCUAACUUAUAUAUGGGGAAUCUCACGUAAGGCCUAAUUCUGAUUGCUUCUUCCACUCCACAGAGAGAUGCUAAUAACCAAUGAGUCAUGGGCAUGAGCCAGGAUUCACUAUUAUUUCAUCGAAUAUCUGGAUUAAACGAUUAUACAAAGGCAAUAAUGCAAAGUUCUGGUGACUUCUCGAAGAAAAGCGUGUUUGAAUUUGACAUCUAGCCAAUGUGUACCUCGAGA